rnacentral:rRNA from 1 species
CCUACGGGAGGCAGCAGUGGGGGAUAUUGCACAAUGGGGGGAACCCUGAUGCAGCGACGCCGCGUGGGUGAAGAAGCGCCUCGGCGCGUAAAGCUCUGUCAUCAGGGAAGAAAAUGACGGUACCUGAAGAAGAAGCCCCGUCUAACUACGUGCCAGCAGCCGCGUGAAUACGUAGGGGGCAAGCGUUAUCCGGAUUUACUGGGUGUAAAGGGGGCGCAGACGGCGAUGCAAGCCAGGAGUGAAAGCGCGGGGCCCAACCCCGAGACUGCUCUUGGAACUGCGUGGCUGGAGUGCAGGAGGGGCAGGCGGAAUUCCUGGUGUAGCGGUGAAAUGCGUAGAUAUCAGGAGGAACACCGGUGGCGAAGGCGGCCUGCUGGACUGCAACUGACGUUGAGGCCCGAAAGCGUGGGGAGCAAACAGGAUUAGAUACCCUAGUAGUC